GUGCCAGCAGCCGCGGUAAUACGUAUGUUCCAAGCGUUAUCCGGAUUUAUUGGGCGUAAAGCGAGCGCAGACGGUUAUUUAAGUCUGAAGUGAAAGCCCUCAGCUCAACUGAGGAAUUGCUUUGGAAACUGGAUGACUUGAGUGCAGUAGAGGAAAGUGGAACUCCAUGUGUAGCGGUGAAAUGCGUAGAUAUAUGGAAGAACACCAGUGGCGAAGGCGGCUUUCUGGACUGUAACUGACGUUCGAGGCUCGAAAGUGUGGGUAGCAAACAGGAUUAGAUACCCUGGUAGUCC
rnacentral:rRNA from 1 species